UAACAAUGGUGGAUUUCCUCAUCGAUGGACGGGAGCGGGCGAGCGAGAAGGGAGAAUUUACUCUCCUCUCGUCUCCCAACGUCAUAGUGGAUUCGGGCACGGAAUCGGACGCAGCGGCGAUGUAAUGGAGGCCCAACCCAAAGCCGU
rnacentral:ribozyme from 1 species